rnacentral:rRNA from 1 species
UACGAAGGGGGCUAGCGUUGCUCGGAAUCACUGGGCGUAAAGGGUGCGUAGGCGGGUCUUUAAGUCAGGGGUGAAAUCCUGGAGCUCAACUCCAGAACUGCCUUUGAUACUGAGGAUCUUGAGUUCGGGAGAGGUGAGUGGAAUUCCCAGUGUAGAGGUGAAAUUCGUAGAUAUUGGGAAGAACACCAGUGGCGAAGGAGGCUCACUGGCCCGUAACUGACGCUGAGGUGCGAAAGCGUGGGGAGCGAACAGG